AAGACUACACCGUCAGGGAUCAUUUCUAGAACUCAUUUCUGGAGAAGUAAUCUGACUUUGUAGAGUACCAGAAACCAUGAAAAAGAGACCCAGAGUUCCCUCCUGAGGGUGAGGCCAGCUCUUGGUGUUGAUUUACUGCAACUGCGUUUUUGACAUUGUUCUUUUCUUCUCUCCCUCCUUUGGAAGAGCAAGAUGGGGGAAUGUAUCUGA
rnacentral:snoRNA from 1 species